rnacentral:rRNA from 1 species
AUGGCAGCGAUGAAGCCCGUCCUGUACAGCGCGGCGAUCAGCUCCUGCUCCUACCGGGUCCGCAUCGCCCUCAGCCUCAAAGGCGUAGAAUAUGAGUACAGGACGGUGGAGUGGAAUGAUACAGAUUAUGAGAAAAUCAAUCCAAUUAAGUAUGUGCCAGCACUACAAGAUGGGGACAUCUUGGUUUCAGACUCUCUUGCAAUCAUAUUGUAUCUUGAAGACAAAUAUCCCCAGCACCCUCUUUUACCUCAAGAUCUGAAAAGGAAGGCUCUUAAUCUGCAGAUUGCAAACAUUGUGUGCUCGAGCAUUCAGCCUCUUCAGUGUUACGCUGUUAUCGGGUUGAUUAAAGGCAAAUUGGGCCCUGAUGAGAGCCUUCAGAUAGUGCAUCAUUACAUUGACAAGGGAUUUAGAGCAAUUGAAAAGCUUCUGGAAGGAUGUGACAGUAAAUUUGCUACUGGAGAUGAAGUCCAACUGGCGGACGUGUUCCUUGCGCCCCAGAUACACGCUGGCGUGACGCGCUUCGACAUCGACAUGUCGAAAUAUCCACAUUUGGAGAGAUUUUACAAAGCAUACAUGGAAAUCCCAGCAUUUCAAGCCGCACGCCCUGAAAACCAGCCAGACGCGCCUUCGCUCCGUCAGUGA